rnacentral:lncRNA from 1 species
UUAGAGCCAUCAGUGAUUUGCAGCAGAGCUGCCAGUAUAAUAAGGGUUAUGCCUGUCAGUACACUUCCUCCAAUCAUAUCAACCCCACCCCAUGCAAUACAACAUACAGAUAUAAUAUGCCAUGUCAUGGUAUCAGUGCAUAUAGUAUCAGUUAUUCAAAAUAAAAUCAUGCUUAAUAACAUAUAUCAGUCAUACAGUAAUAUCACUCAUUUAGG